rnacentral:rRNA from 1 species
UACGAAGGGGGCUAGCGUUGUUCGGAAUUACUGGGCGUAAAGCGCACGUAGGCGGCUUUGUAAGUUAGAGGUGAAAGCCCGGGGCUCAACUCCGGAACUGCCUUUAAGACUGCAUCGCUUGAAUCCGGGAGAGGUGAGUGGAAUUCCUGGUGUAGCGGUGAAAUGCGCAGAUAUCAGGAAGAACACCUAUGGCGAAGGCAGCUCUCUGGGCCGAUACUGACGCUGAGGAGCGAAAGCGUGGGGAGCGAACAGG